UUCACGGUCCUCUGAACAUAAAAUCUAAAACAGACUAUCCUUGAACACUAGAGCCCCUCCCCAACUUUGAACCGAGUUCCGAAAGUGGUCUCAUCUCCAUACUCGGCUUUGAACCCCACAUCCCCAAAAUAAGGAAUGGGGUAGACGUAAAGGAUCUUUUUUUUUUUUUUGCGGGAUGAAAAAAGGUUUAUUUUUUAAAAAAACCUUACCAUUUUUUCCCUCUUUAUUUUAAGAUUCUGGAAAUAGCUUUAAAAUAGCUUUAGAUUUCAAUCUUAACAUGAAUCAAAGCCGAGUCAGAGAAAUUUGGCCCUAUUUUAAUAGGGCUGGGGAAUGAGCUCCAGAGGUCAAUAAAGCCCUCCAAAAAUGAUGAAUGAUUGAGUACCUGUGAUGAUGAUAGUGAUUACUGGAGCAAUUAAACAGUUUGAUUAAAUGAGCCAUCAUAACAAUGAUGUCUGCGGGAAAUCAGCCCUCACAUAUAAAGAAAGAAAGUGUGUAGAAGGGCUGACAUAACGCCAGUGGGCAAUCCGAGGCUUUCCGAUAGCUAGAGUGCUGUGGAAACGGAGGUAUUUUCCAAUGCUCCUGAGGGGAAAGGGGGUGAUUAGAAAGGGAAAAAGUCAUGCAGAUACUUUAUGGCAUUGUUGUACACCCAAUUAAUAAUGAAGAGCAAAAGUGAAGGUUGAGAUUUUCUUCUUCUUCUUCUUCUUCUUCUUCUUCUUUCUUCUUCUUCUUCUUCUUCUCUCCUCCUCCUCCUCCUCCUCCUCCUCCUCCUCCUCCUCUCUUCUCCUUUCUCCUCCUCCUUCUCCUUCUCCUUCUCCUUCUCCUUCUCCUUCUCCUUCUCCUUCUCCUUCUCCUUCUCCUCCUUCUCCUUCUUCUCUUUCUCCUUCUCUUUCUUCUCCUUCUCCCCCUCCUCCUCCUGCUUCUUCUUCUCCUUCUCCUUCUCCUUUCCUUCUCCUUCUCCUUCUCCUUCUCCUUCUCCUUCUCCUUCUCCUUUCCUUCUCCUUCUCCUUCCCCACCCCCCGAAGAUCUCCAAGAUUAAGAGCAGUGACUCUGUGUUGUUGCUGACUUUACCUCGGAUUUAUAAGAAGAGAUGACUAUACUGAAGUGCCAACUGAAGCCCAGGAAACGGAAAUUAAUUGUUCAAGAAAAUACACGAAGGUUGAACUUGACUUGACAUCAAAUGGCAAGAUAAUAUUAUGUCGUUAUCCUAUAGGUAUUUCCCCAUGAGUAUAUAAAGCCUAGCAUUUGACCAGAUCCUAUCUAUAACCAAGAAGAAACACAAGAUCCAGUGCAAAAUGCCAAAUUAGAAAGAAAAGGUAAAGCUGCUGAGCAAGAGUUCGUGAGAAAACAGCUUAGCCCUCAUGGACUUUAUCAUCAAUAGUUGAGACUCAUAUUGUUGUUUCUUGUCAUUAAAGAUAAAAUAUCAUCUUUUGUUCAUUUUACCACUUGAAGAAAUGAAGUAGAAAAUAUUUGCCAGUGUUAUACAGGAAACAUUUAACAAAGUAUUUUUCAAUAUUAAAAAAAAAAAGAUGGAGAGUUGGGUAAUGAUGAACAUAAUAGCAUAAAAAUAAAGCAUGAAGCAUAAAAUAACUUCA
rnacentral:lncRNA from 1 species